AUUGAACGCUGGCGGCAGGCCUAACACAUGCAAGUCGAACGGUAACAGGAAGCAGCUUGCUGCUUCGCUGACGAGUGGCGGACGGGUGAGUAAUGUCUGGGAAACUGCCCGAUGGAGGGGGAUAACUACUGGAAACGGUAGCUAAUACCGCAUAACGUCGCAAGACCAAAGAGGGGGACAUUCGGGCCUCUUGCCAUCGGAUGUGCCCAGAUGGGAUUGGCUUGUUGGUGAGGUAACGGCUCACCAAGGCGACGAUCCCUAGCUGGUCUGAGAGGAUGACCAGCCACACUGGAACUGAGACACGGUCCAGACUCCUACGGGAGGCAGCAGUGGGGAAUAUUGCACAAUGGGCGCAAGCCUGAUGCAGCCAUGCCGCGUGUAUGAAGAAGGCCUUCGGGUUGUAAAGUACUUUCAGCGGGGAGGAAGGUGUUGUGGUUAAUAACCGCAGCAAUUGACGUUACCCGCAGAAGAAGCACCGGCUAACUCCGUGCCAGCAGCCGCAGUAA
rnacentral:rRNA from 1 species